GACGGUGUAGCUUAAUGGAUAGAGCCCUUACUUUCGACAGCCCGACUAUUCGGCUGGGUAAGGAGGUGCAGGUUCGACUCCUGCCGCCGUGA
rnacentral:tRNA from 1 species